rnacentral:sRNA from 1 species
UGAGUGCUGCUGGUCGCUGUAGCGGGCCUCGGCGUGGGCGGCGGGAAUCCGCGGACAUCGGGUCGGGUCUAGGCUCCCGAGUCCGCGCUUCUGGGCGGGAGCCCUUGUCUGGGUCUCGCGGGGGUCUGCCAGAUGCGUAGGUCUCACUGACUGGUUCCUUGUUGCUCUUUCCAGCAAAUGGCGGAUGACGCCGGUGCAGCGGGGGGGCCCGGAGGCCCUGGUGGCCCUGGGAUGGGGAACCGCGGUGGCUUCCGCGGAGGUUUCGGCAGUGGCAUCCGGGGCCGGGGUCGCGGCCGGGGACGGGGCCGGGGCCGAGGCCGCGGAGCUCGCGGAGGCAAGGCCGAGGAUAAGGAGGUAGGUAUCAGCCACGCUCGGGGUCGGACCCGUGGGGGGCGCCGGAGAGCGGCCCUGGUCACUCGCGCCUUUUCUCCCUGUAGUGGAUGCCCGUCACCAAGUUGGGCCGCUUGGUCAAGGACAUGAAGAUCAAGUCUCUGGAGGAGAUCUAUCUCUUCUCCCUGCCCAUUAAGGAAUCAGAGAUCAUUGACUUCUUCCUGGGGGCCUCUCUCAAGGAUGAGGUUUUGAAGAUUAUGCCAGUGCAGAAGCAGACCCGUGCCGGCCAGCGCACCAGGUUCAAGGUACCCUGUCCUGGAGGGGGCUGUCCUGGGCUGGGCUUGCCGGGACUCUCUCAGCUCUGCAUAGUUGCACUUGGCUUCACCCGUGUGACUUUCGUAACCAGGAGAGAGAGAAAAGAUCUCCUCAGGACCUCGGAUGGGCCUUAUCGUGGCCUCUCUUUCCUUGAGGGGCGCAACAGCCCUUGGGCGGUGGGCAGUGAUUGG